AUGCAACGACAUCAACCACGUCCACGCCUAGCACAGCAGCCGACAACCAGGCCACCCCGUCCUGACCAACCUGGCAGUUCUACGUGGCACCCGCAGCACUAUGGUCCCACGUCGAGCUUCGUGUUUUCUCCACAGCCACAGCAGCACGGUCCCUCGUCCAGUUUCGUGUUUCAGCCAGAGCAGACGUCACACCCAGCAGGGGCCUAUGGAUAUCAGGCGUCUAUGUCGGCAUCACAUGAUACGUGGGGGAGUGAUCAACAUCCCGAGGACAACAUACAGGCUCAGAUGUCGCAGCACACCCAGUGGAUGAACAUGUUUUCGACUCCUCCACCAGGCCCCACACAGGAUACACAGCAUGACCAGCGAGAGUCUGAGAUUCCUCCUCGUCACGUUAGGGCACCCGACAGGUUGGGAUGGUCCCCGAUUCCAGAUCCGCCUCCCCGCCAGGCCAGACGUCAUCACUGA
rnacentral:rRNA from 1 species